rnacentral:rRNA from 1 species
UAAUACGGAGGGUGCAAGCGUUGUUCGGAAUUACUGGGCGUAAAGAGCGUGUAGGCGGCCGAUCAAGUCCGGUGUGAAAGCCCGGGGCUUACCCCCGGAAGUGCGCUGGAAACUGAUCGGCUAGAGUAUGGGAGAGGGAAGUGGAAUUCCUGGUGUAGCGGUGAAAUGCGUAGAUAUCAGGAGGAACACCGGCGGCGAAGGCGGCUUCCUGGACCAAUACUGACGCUGAGACGCGAAAGCGUGGGGAGCAAACAGGAUUAGAUACCCUGGUAGUCCACGCUGUAAACGAUGGGCACUAGAUGCCGCGGGUAUUGACCCCUGCGGUGUCGUAGCUAACGCGUUAAGUGCCCCGCCUGGGGAGUACGGUCGCAAGAUUA